GUUUAUUGUGAUUUUGAUGGUUCAAGUGAUUUGUGUUUCAACCAACAGGGGGUCUAAAAGCCUAAAGUUGUUACCUUUGAGCAUUUCAUAUUUAUAUUGUUGAAAAAUAUAAUAUCUUUAAGCAUGUCCUCAAACUAAAACUGAAGAAAUCAUCACAAAUAUUUUCUAUGAUUGUGUUGUUCAGGUAUAACAUAAAUAUAAUAGUAUCUCAAAGAUGACAGGAGGAAGUAUGGACAUAUCACAUUUUAUGUCACAGAAGGAUAGAUAUUCAAUUUAAAUGUUUAUUUAAGUUGUAAUAAUAAUAUAUGUGAA